AGAGCUGUAAGACAUAAGGCAUACAAGAACAGACAUGCUGAACAUCCGGAUUUGCGUGGUCAAGCCCCAAACUUUCAUUCCAAGGAAAUGAAAAACUGUUCUAUGAGAUCAGACAAAGGACAGGACUCAAGUUUGGAAUGAAUUUCUGAGAAGAUUUGAGAUCGAGGUACAUGCAGUCAUGUACCUUGGAUACAUGGAUAGAAUGCCCAUGGAUAUGUUUUCUAGUUCCCAUAAAACAAAGAUGAAGGGAUAUCAGCUGAAGUUGAGAUUAACUGUAGAGAAAUCUAAAAGAACUACCACUUUUCACAACAGGCGAUGGAAAGAAGAGAGCAGCAGAGCCCUUAUCCAUCAGUGAAGUCUACUCCAUCACUGGAAUUUCCUGCGCGCUUCUCUCCAUCCCUUAUCCUGCCUGUUGUAUUGUAACCCUCACCCCAAGCCCGGAAGCAUCCUAAAAGCGUUUGGAUGGCUAAUUCACCAAAGGAAGAAAUUGUUGCCUGGCUGAGCUAGUUACUGUUUUAUCUAUCCACCACUAAAUGAUAGCAUGAACCGAAACUGUAGUUUCCAUACUAGAUUCUUCUGAGUUCAUGUAAAUAAAACAAUAGACAAAGAUAAA